AACCUUUGCUGUCUUGGGACGGAUCACCGCUGCAAGAGGGGAAGUUGCUACUGUGAUGAAUUCUGCCAUGUGGCACCAGACUGCCACCCAGACCACAGUGUCCUCUGCAACCCUGGUAACUCACAUACAGGCCCGAUUCCACCUACAGCAAAGCUGGAUGCGAUGGCUGGCAGAGGCAAACCCUUUGCCUGCACUUCAGGCCAAAGCCGGGAUGUGGCCUAGAUGGUUCCUAAGGUCCCUGACAAUCCUGAGAUCUUGCAUCUUGUCUAUUUCAGGUCAAAGGUGCCUACAUGCUCCUUCUAGCUUUGUUUCCCUGAUGUUCCUUGCCACCUGCUACUCCUCUCUGAGCUACUUUUCCAGGUUCCACAGGGAGAGGUUCAGCUGUCCGUGGUAGACAUGAGGGUAGAGAAUGAGGUGGUUGGGUUCCACUUACCUUUCUAUCAUCUUGCAGUAUGGAUGUCUCUUGACUGGUACCGUGUAGACUUUUGAGGGCACACAGGAGUCUGCAGAGAGAUACUGGGGACAUUGAGCAGCAGCAGUGGGGUUGGGAGGCAGAAAUGAGGACAGGAACAUUUACCUUGUGUUUCUCUCAGCUUCUCAGAUGACCAAGAUGGUGCUGCAGAUGGUGCUGAGGAUGGAGAACCCACCAAGCCCCGCUAGGAGCCACCUAGACUGGAUGCAGAGCAUGCUUUCUCCUGGCUGCGAGUUGUCCCACAUUUGCUUGGCGUUGCCCGGCCUUUUCCAGACUGAACCAAUGUUCAUCUUACAUGUGUUGAUUGAUGUCUCAUGUCUCCCUAAAACGUAUGACCACCUUGGCACAUGUCGUCAGGACAUCCUGAGGCUGUGUCACGGGUGUGCAUCUUC
ensembl:lncRNA MUC20-OT1 MUC20 overlapping transcript